AAACUUAGAAUUUAAAUAUAUGCAGUUAAAAAUUUAAAUAAUAUAAUCUAUACAAUUUAGGCGGUCGUCUAGACUUUGACUGAGAUCCUAGUGCCUAAGCAACCACCUAGGUCACGUUUAAAAUAUUGGAUUUCAGUGAAUCCAUUCUAUUACAAAAUUAUGAACAUGAAAAAAAAAAAAAAUACCGAUUGACAAUAUAUAGAAAUAAUAGAAUAUAUUUUAUUUGUAUUUUCAUAUCCUCUCUCAUCACCACUAAUUUUGUAAAAAAACCUAACAUCUGGCAUCUAUUUCGCCACUCUUAUAAUCAUGGAACAAAACCUGACCGCC
rnacentral:lncRNA from 1 species